CCUACGGGUGGCAGCAGUAGGGAAUCUUUCACAAUGGGCGAAAGCCUGAAGGAGCAACGCCGCGUGGAGGAUGAAGGCCUUCGGGUUGUAAACUCCUUUUGUUAGCGAGGAAUAUGAUGGUAACUUAUGAAUAAGGAUCGGCUAACUCCGUGCCAGCAGCCGCGGUCAUACGGAGGAUCCGAGCAUUAUCCGGAGUGACUGGGGGUAAAGAGUUGCGUAGGUGGCAUAAUAAUUAGCUAGUGAAAUCCCGUGGAUCAAACAUUAAGACUACUAGCUAAACUGUUAAGCUAGAGAACGGUAGAGGUAACUGGAAUUUCUAGUGUAGGAGUGAAAUCCGUAGAGAUUAGAAGGAACACCCAUAGCGUAGGCAGGUUACUGGGACGGGUCUGACACUAAGGCACGAAAGCGUAGGGAGCAAACGGGAUUAGAUACCCUAGUAGUC
rnacentral:rRNA from 1 species